rnacentral:rRNA from 1 species
AUUGAACGCUGGCGGCAGGCUUAACACAUGCAAGUCGAGCGGAGAGAGGUAGCUUGCUACUGAUCUUAGCGGCGGACGGGUGAGUAAUGCUUAGGAAUCUGCCUAUUAGUGGGGGACGACAUUUCGAAAGGAAUGCUAAUACCGCAUACGUCCUACGGGAGAAAGCAGGGGAUCACUUGUGACCUUGCGCUAAUAGAUGAGCCUAAGUCGGAUUAGCUAGUUGGUGGGGUAAAGGCCUACCAAGGCGACGAUCUGUAGCGGGUCUGAGAGGAUGAUCCGCCACACUGGGACUGAGACACGGCCCAGACUCCUACGGGAGGCAGCAGUGGGGAAUAUUGGACAAUGGGGGGAACCCUGAUCCAGCCAUGCCGCGUGUGUGAAGAAGGCCUUAUGGUUGUAAAGCACUUUAAGCGAGGAGGAGGCUCUUUUGGUUAAUACCCAAGAUGAGUGGACGUUACUCGCAGAAUAAGCACCGGCUAACUCUGUGCCAGCCGCCGCUGUAACAC